rnacentral:rRNA from 1 species
CCGACUCUGAAGGGAUGUAUUUAUUAGAUUAAAAACCAAUGCCCUUCGGGGCUUCCUGGUGAUUCAUGAUAACUUUUCGAAUCGCAUGGCCUUGCGCCGGCGAUGGUUCAUUCAAAUUUCUUCCCUAUCAACUUUCGAUGUUUGGGUAUUGGCCAAACAUGGUGGCAACGGGUAACGGAGGGUUAGGGCUCGACCCCGGAGAGGGAGCCUGAGAAACGGCUACCACAUCCAAGGAAGGCAGCAGGCGCGCAAAUUACCCAAUGCUGACUCAGCGAGGUAGUGACAAUAAAUACUGAUGCAGGGCUCUUUUGGGUCUUGCAAUCGGAAUGAGUACAAUUUAAAUCCCUUAACGAGGAACAAUUGGAGGGCAAGUCUGGUGCCAGCAGCCGCGGUAAUUCCAGCUCCAAUAGCGUAUAUUAAAGUUGUUGUGGUUAAAAAGCUCGUAGUUGAACCUUGGGCCUGGCCGGCCGGUCCGCCUCACCGCGUGCACUGGUUCGGCCGGGCCUUUCCCUCUGCGGAACCGCAUGCCCUUAACUGGGCGUGCCGGGGAAGCAGGACUUUUACUUUGAAAAAAUUAGAGUGCUCCAGGCAGGCCUAUGCUCGAAUACAUUAGCAUGGAAUAAUGGAAUAGGACGUGUGGUUCUAUUUUGUUGGUUUCUAGGACCGCCGUAAUGAUCAAUAGGGACAGUCGGGGGCAUCUGUACUCAGCUGUCAGAGGUGAAAUUCUUGGAUUUGCUGAAGACAACCUA